GACCGAUAGUGAACCAGUACCGUGAGGGAAAGUGAAAAGUACUUCGAAUAGAAGGGUGAAAUAGAUCCUGAAACCAUACGCUUACAAGCUGUCGGAGCCCUUUUAAUUUUAUUAUUAAGAGUAGGGUGACGACGUGCCUUUUGCAUAAUGAACCUACGAGUUAAUUUUUCCGGCAAGGUUAAGUAGUUCAGCUAUGGAGCCGUAGCGAAAGCGAGUCUGAAUAGGGCAUUUAGUCGGAAGAAUUAGACGCGAAACCGAGUGAUCUACCCAUGAGCAGGUUGAAGCUGUGGUAACACAUAGUGGAGGACCGAACCGGUUGACGUUGAAAAGUCUUCGGAUGACUUGUGGGUAGGGGUGAAAGGCUAAUCAAACUCGGAGAUAGCUCGUACUCCCCGAAAUGCAUUUAGGUGCAGCAUCGUGUUAAAUAUGACAGAGGUAGAGCUACUGAUUGGAUGAAGGGGUUUCAUCACCUACUAAUUCCUGAUAAACUCCGAAUGCUGUUAUUAUGUUUCACGGUAGUGAGGGCAUGGGUGCUAAGAUCCAUGUCCAAGAGGGAAACAACCCAGAUCAUCAGUUAAGGCCCCUAAGUAUAUAUUAAGUUGUAUAAACAAAGUUUAAUUACACACACAGCUAGGAUGUUGGCUUGGAAGCAG
rnacentral:rRNA from 1 species